UCUAUUUCCAGAGGCGGAGGGAGAUGGCAGGGUGUGACCUCUUUCAGGGCCAGCAGCAGGUGUGGCUCAUGUGGGCUAAUGUCAGAGGCACCCUUCUGUCUGGGGUCAAAGGUUGGUAAGAAUGGGCAGACAGAGCUUCCACAUUGGUUCCAUGAAGGCAGGUGCAGACAGACUGGAGAACACGAUCAAUGAGUUUAUAUUCUGUUUUAUGCGCUUAAAGAAAUUCCAUAAACACGUGUAAUGCUUAAUUUUUAUUUUUAUUUCUAUUUUUGCAAAGACAGAUUGGAAGAAUGAUAAAAACCAGAAAAUCAGAAAAGAGGCGCAAUAUUCUAACUCUUUUGACCUAAUGUACUGAAUCACUAGAAUCAGUUCACUAAAAAGAUUCGUUCAAAAGAUUCAUUCACCAAAUCACAGAAUCACUUAGCGCUUAGCGGGGGAAGCCUGCGAUUCUGACCUCUUGAACUGAUACACAGCUGAACGUUUCAGGACUCAGUUCAAUUCAUAGCUUCUGGGUCUGGGAGAUGAGGGUGUUUGGCUGUGUCGCUUUGGCAAACAGGUUUGUGAAAGUGAACCAGGUCUGCUCAGUAAAUUGGGGUCAGUGAGUGAUUCGUUCGUUCUGAAAGUUUAGAAGAAUUCAAAGUGAACAUGCACCGUUCCCUCGCAAACCGCUGAAAUGAUAGGAUGCUGCGGGUUUAAUGCACUACUUGUUACAUGCUGUGUCCUAUUGUAUGCAAGUUGUUGUGGUCGCAAUUAAGCAGUGGAAAAAAAAGGUAGUUUUGUCCGACAAAAACGAUUCCAGAGAGUGUAGUUCAAUGUGUGAUUUGUCCACCAAGUGAAUCAGGCGUCAGUGCAUGUGGUCCCUCGUUUGCCUGCUGCUGGCCUGGCAAUGCUGUUUCUCACUUCAGCUCAACUGAAUGAAUCACUCGAGAAAGUGAUUCGGUUUAGUACAUUCACUUAAAAGAUUUGGUUCUUUUGAACGAAUCAUUUGUGAACGACGCAACACUAGCGUACUGUAAAAUCCACUCCCUUUGUGAGACCGACAGCUUUCUGGUGAUGUGUGUUUUUGUGACAUCCAGGUGACACUAAAGUUGCUGCGAAGGGACAAACUCAGAUGACACAGCAGAAAACUUGCAGGAGUAAAUAUUCCCUUCAAUUUUUUCUCAGUUUAAGAUUGUCCAGACUCGUCCACAGACUCCAUGCAAAGAAAAACAUCCACCCCUCCGUCUCGCAGCCUGUCACUGAUUACAUCUGUGCUGAUUCGGCUGCAGCCUUUGAUUUGAUCUCCUCUGAAGUCUCGUGUUUUGAAGCGCUUGAAUGCAAACUUCGGCCCACGAGUAGGGAGCCUCUCACAGCUGUGCACGGAUGCAGUUCACAGUCUGUGGGUGCAGCCACCCGACUGUGAGAGCACGCCAGACUGUGUUAAUGUGAUGGCAGGAAGCUGGCACAGACAUGGCUCCCCGUCUUGUUUCUUCAGUACAGUUGGCAGAGGGAAGCUGUGGGCAUGGUCCUCCUCUUGGCCCUGUGACGGUGUUAGGAGGGUUUGGGUUAGAGGCAGGCAGCUGGCAUCGAAUGCAGAGUCCGUGUUGACACAACACAUGAUCCCCAUCCCUCUAAAACAAGCUAGCCUCUUGGCAGAAGAGGGCAUCUUUUUGGCAGCGUGGGUUUGUCCCGUAGAAGUGUUGGCCUUGGCAGCGGACGGACUGUAUGCACACAGGGCUGGAAGUGUGGGAAAGUAGGAGACUAGGGUACAGGGCACUGCAACGGGCCAAGAGACUUACAUCAGGAGGGACCUGCUACAUAAACGGAAACCAUCUCAAUUUGAAAAUGCACUCUCAAAUCCUGCAGAUAAACAAAUAUAAAAGCAUGCUGCAAACAGAAAACAUGAUACAAAAAGCUUAAGUUAAUGAGUUUUAUUUGUUCUUUUGUUUUGUCAGGAUGCAAGAUCAAAUUUUCACUCAUGCAAGUGUUUUUCCAAAAGCAUCUUACAAGCAACCCAGAGCCUGACAAUGCUAAUUAGGGGAGUAGUAAAUAACGGUAUCAUCUGCAUAUGAAUUUAAAACUGCAGUAGGGACAUUUGGACCAAUACUGUUACCAUCAAUUGUAAAUACCAGUAGUCCCAAGACAGAGCCCUGGGGUACGCCAUUUAUUAUUUCAAGAUAUCUAGAGGAUAUCUAGAGGAAAUCACAAAGGUUCCCAUAGGAUAAAUGGACUUGUUACUGACUUGCCUCUGAACACUUAAGUAGUCACAAUCCCAGCCUGUAACUUUUUACAGUUUUUGUUCCUCAAACUCAUGAGUGAUGACUUUGUUCCCUGCAGCUUGGUUUUCAUUGCUUUCAAAUUGGCAGAACUUUUCUUCUUGUUCACAAAGUGCCAAUCAAAUCUAACUGAUCUCAUCCACUUGAUGGUUGUGCCUUUGGGAGCAACUUAAGGUUUAGUGUUUUGCCCAAGGACACUUUGACAUGUAACUGCAGGAGCGACGGAUCAGACUACUGACAUUUCGAUUGAGAGAUGACCCACUUUACCUCGAUGCCAAAGCCAAGUUUGAACCUGCCAGCUCUAGUGCUUUAGCUCUAGGAAACUAAAAUAAAGAGGGCGGAUGGAUUGAGAAAGAUAAACAGAGAAUCUUGCGCCCCUGUGUCAGUCUUAACAUUAGGAUGGGCUCACAUGGGAGGCUCCUGAUGAGUGUUGAAGUGGUGGGUCUAUGAAUAGUCAGGGCAGAGACUCACAGAUGUUUGUCCACAUCACAAAGACUCAGAAAUACCCAGAGCCAAAUAUCAGGUUCAGCUUUCUGCAGAGUCUUUAUCUUCAUCACUGGAGUCCAGAUGGUGUGGGGGUGUUCCCACUAACAAAGCUAGGAGAGUACUGGUAGAGGUUUGUCAGGGGUAAUGUACUCUAAUCAGUACAUUUACAGUAUUGACUGAAUGCAUGUAAACAUAGGCGUGUAUAAGGGCAAAGAUAGACUGAGCAUGUUUGGACCUGUUUGACAUUUUUGUGUAUGAAGGUAAAAGUCAUGAGUUAUUAUCUCUCCAUGCAGCUUGUUGUUUCCACUGUGUACUCACUCUCUUUAUCUGAGGUUUACUUUCACUUUGGGGGCGGUUUUAUUUGGAAAAGUAAAAUCCAGUAUAUUGAAUGAAUUUGCCCACAUCUAUAAAUCACAGUCAUUUUUUCUUAUUAAGAAGUAAGCAGGAGUGGGUUGUAAACAAAUUCAAAGCUACCCAUGCCAUGGUCACUUAUGAUCCCAAGACGAGUUUUGAACUAUGAUGGCCUCCCUUCUCUUUGGAGCACAGGAUGCAACAUCCGUGAUUUCCAAAAAUAAAGUCAAAUUUUGUUUCAUCAGACCACAGGACAGUUUCCCACUUUCAGUCCAUUUCACACCCGGAGACAUCUCUGGUGUUUCUGGAUCAUGUUUCUAUUUGGUUUCCUCUUUGAAUUCUUUAGUUUUACCUGCUGAAAUGUGUUCACAGACAAUAGUUUUUGGAAGGGAUUUUGUGCCCAUGCAGUGAUUUCCCUCUUUUUUAAUACGGUGCUGCCUGAAGGUCUUAAAAUCAGGAGUAUACUGUACUGAUUUUGUAUUCAAAAAUAUGAGCAGAUUGUGACCUUUGUCCCAUUUCUGUGACGAUGAAAACUCCCACUAUCAUUACAGAUGAGUCCUGACUCCCUCUAAUAGGGACUGACAGGCAGGUUUGACUCUCGUGGAGGUAAUUAUCUGACCUCAUGCUUCCCUUCAAUUACACAACCAUUAAGUUCCCCAUUAUCAUUAUCACACUGACUGAUCUGUGACCUCUGACUGUAUGCGUGACAUCCUCAAAAUCCUGCAUUAACCCUGAGUUAAGAUAAUAUAACCGAACUAAGAUAUCGGAAUAGUAAGGAAUAGAGACACCUCCUCUUUAUUACAUUACCGAUGACUAAAAUGAUUUUAAAUGGAACUGAAAUGAUGAAAUUCAACCUCAUCUCCACCUAGGGAAUGAAAUCACCGCUCUCCCCGAGCAGAUACUUUCCACACACUCGGACACACACACUCACAGUCCAGUGAUUGUGAUGGGAAGUUUGCAGAGCGUGUGGGUGUGUUGGAGCUGACAGAGCGUUGAAUUUAUUGCAGCGGAGGUUCAUGCGGCUGAACAGAAAGUUCAGCAGCAGGUGUCAGAUGGUUUUCUAAAGACUCAUUUCUCAACAGGAAGAAGUCGCAGGGGACUUUUGGCUUAUUUGGUAACUAAGGAACAAUAUCAACAAUGUUUGUAUGGUGACAAAAGUGAGAUUUCAGAAGCAGGAAAAACACUAAACAGAAGCUGUUGUGACAACAGAAUUAAGUCUGACGGUUAUGUAACUGAUUUAUCUCUCUGCACAGUCAUAUUGUGCUCUUCUUCAUUCUCACUUUCUACUCUCAGGUUUCCCUGGGGGUUUACACAUUUAUACUAACUGCAUUUGACGGUAAAUUUUGGUAACGUUGCUCAUGUGGUGAAUAUUUGUUGAGAUUUGAACACUGAAUCCUACGUUCUCUCUCUAUUUUAAAGUUUGUACAAGAAGUGAAAGUAGACUCAGACACAAUAAAAAGGACAAUAGUCAGCGGUUGGAUGGUUGAGAGGGCAGACACUGACGGUCUAUGCAACAAAAGACACUGCAUUUAUACUGAUUUAGUGCUUCAAUCUGACUGAAACUGGACUUAAAAACAUGUUAGUUUGACUGAAAUCGCACUGAAUUAAGUUCCUUGAAGUCCAACUAACAUGUCAGGAUAAUGUGGCUGGAGCUUGAUUUUCUUUUUCAUGUGUAGACCUCAAUAAGACUCAAGCUGGUCUAAGCUUUCGGCUCAUGCUCCUCCAAAGUCUGCACACUGGAGACUGGAGGCAAAAAGAGUAAAAACUGGAGGCAAACACAUAAGGCAGAAUGCGACAUAAGGGCUCUAAAAUGACAUAUUUUACUAUAUAUUACUGUGAAUUUGCUCUUUUUCUCAAAAUAAGUCUUGAAGAAGUGGAGCCAUUUUGGAUUUAGGUCAGUAUGGUAUCAUUCUCCAAGAAGAGGAACUUUCUUCCCAUACAGCUGUAACAGAUCCUGAUAAAUGGAUCAUUAGAUGUCAAGGUUUUGGCAUCCAUUUCAUGCAAAAAAUGCAGUGAUAUCACUGGGCUCAGAGCCUUCUGGACGCUCAGCUUCAGCUUUUUUCUCCCUGAGCUCCUCUAAACUGAGCGAACACUUCCUCUGAGCUGGACUGACUCAAACUGGAAGAGUUGAAAUGAGGAGAAACUAAAGAUAUGACUGUGUUCAGAUUCAACCGUCUGUUUCUGACACAAAGAGAAACUUCUGCAACUGACUUAUUUCUGCAGCUCAUUUCUUUUGCAUGCAGUAAGUCCACCCUCGGUGCUGGCAGAUUAAAUCCAGAUCAUGUCGAUUAUUGUGAAUCAUGCAGGACGUCUACGUGGCCCAGAAACGGUCUGCAAGGUUCUGACUCAGAGGGAAGGGUCUGUUAGUGUGAGGGGAGAGUGACCAAGUAUUUCCAAACUGAUGAGUCACUGCAAAGCUGCACAUGUAACAGAUGGGGUCUACACAGAAGGGAAGAAGGGAGACUGCUUUUCAUUUACUGCGCUUCAGAUUUACAGUUCAGGGGAAGGAAAAUUCUCACAGACGACAAAUCUGGAGGAUAAAAUCUGGAUAUAAGUGGGUGUAAAUCCUCAGACUGGGCUCUUCUCCUCUCUCAUAUUGUCACUUUGAGACGUCUGGAUCACAUCUGUCUCUCUGUCCAUUUCCCCUCUUUCAUCCUUUUGUCCCUCUGAAUACCAAUGCAGAGUAUUUAGCAUUUUCCUCUGAUUCUUCCUGAUGAAUCAUGUUGCAUUUUAGCAAAGUUAACUUCAUUUUUGCAGACAAAGACCUUUGUUGAUAAUUUACUCCCUACAUUAUGCUGACUCCUGUCACCCCUCCUCCUGCUUUCACUUUACCUCCCAUCCUCCUGUUUAAUCUCUUCAUCCCUCCCUUUUUGCUCCUUCUCUCCACCCUCCUCCAUCACUCCACAGAUGAACUUGUCCCUGCCAGCUGUCUUUUCUGCAUUUCUUUACCUCUCUCGUCCACUCCUUUCUUUCACUAUUAGCACGUGUUUUAGAGGAGUGAGUGUGUUUUCUCCCCCUCUAUCUCCACCCUCCCUCUCCUUCCUUAGAGCUUCGUGCCCUGUGGCCGGGUUAGAGAGGUGGGUCAGGGUUUAGCUCCAGGCCUGCAGCACCCUGUUAUUAAAGCUGAUUUAAAAUGCGAGUAGACUUUCUUUCUAUGGGAACUGGACCCUGAGGGGGGAAACCUCACCUGAGCUCACCUCACUGACAGAAACAACUCUUUUACACUGUUUACAGCCUCGAUGCUGCUGACCCACAUGCAACAAAGAAGAAAGGAAAGUGUUUUUCACCUCAGUGAUCAUCCACAAGUGUCUGAUAUGCCUCUUUCUGGACUCUGAUGUGCAGAAAAGAGGUGUAUAAACCAGGUUUAUAUUAAACUUUCAGCUUAGAAUAAGUGUCUAGUGGAAGAAAACUACAAAAAGUAAACCAUUGUUCUCCGAGACAGCUUUAACGAAACCAGCUGUCUCUGUUUCCAAAUGUUGCUUCAAGAGAAGAAACAGACAGAGAGGACAACUCAGGAUAAAACCAAAGAGCCCAAGCAACGCAACCAUUCAGACAAAACAUGCUGGUUUAAAAAGGGGUAAAAGUUCUUUAAGGCAGCAGAUAUGAUAAUGUCAGCAUGGGUGUGAAUUACAGCAGAGUCUAGUAAAAGUUUGAAGUAAACUUCAGCGAAAAGUUUACCAUUAAAUGACUCUGACAUUGAAAUCACUUCAGUCCAGAGGUGUUGACCAAUAAUUACCUCAUCACCCCUUUUCUUGCAACCAGCUUUCAACAACUUCCAUGGAAACUCAAUGCUGUUUAGCGAAUACCAUGAGCUUAAGGGCCUGUGCACACUAACUGCAUUUUUUUUCCACUGGCAGCGCUCAAGUCCUCAUCUGCAAAGUACCUCUUAUCAGCACUUUCUGUUACUAAGUUGUGUUGUGGUUCUUCUGUAACGCCAGCGUUGUGAACUCAUUUGUAACUUUCAAUUUAUACAUUUUGCCAAAAAUUAAACAUGUUUACAGUCUGUCUCAAAAUACAGUUUUGGUUUUUGGCUCAGAGAUCCAAUGACAAAUUCUGUACAGGAACCAUGACUGCUUUGAAUUGUAAAUAACAGUUUGUUUUUUUUACUACUUGAUCUUCCAUGUACCUGUCUUCAUCACAGGAUGAGUAAAAAACAACUUUGUGUAUAGUAGCUAUAGAAACAAAAGGGUGGCUCAAAUCACCAAUACACUACGAUUGCAUUUUGUAUGAGCAGAGAGAGCUUGACUUUUGCAUUUGCAUCCAUUUGUUUAGCAAACCAAGACGAGCUUAAGAUUGUAAAUUAGGUGGUUGUUCAGUGGAAACUGGGCUGAUGAGCUCAUGCUGACUUAAGUAGAAAGUAAACAUCACUAAAGCAAAACGAUGAGCUAAAACUUUCUGCAGAUAUUCUUUAAUUUCACCCUGAUAUUUUGCAGUACGUCAGUAAAACUCUCUCUCUCUCUUGUGUUGAACAGAUGCACAGGUCUGAGUGACAGCAGUGAUUUAAGCCGAAAGGUGAGCAGGUUCUUAAAAGCACUUGUGUCAACACUUUGCAUUUACCCGCAGAGCUACUCCUAAAAACUCCCUCCUCAGGGCGAACACUCCUCUUUUAUGAUCCUGAAACGACCUGAAGGAGUCUGUUUCAUUUCCAGGAGAGCUGGAGCUGCAGGGCAUCAGUGAAAUCAGCCCAAUAAUUACAACCCACUGCAGGACAAACACAGUCCUCUCUUUGACAGAGGACAGAGGGUUCAGAGUCUUUUGUCUCAGUCACAAGCCUGCUGUGUGGGUUUAAAAGAGAGUCAAUAACAGUAAAAAGUUUGUUUUACUUUUCCUCAGACGGCUCUGUCCAUUCAUGCUCUGAUUUACGAGCAAGUCAGAGACAAUAACUUCAAACCUGUCUUAAAAUCUGCAGGUUUUAAGGAGUGUGUCUGGAAAUGACUCGAAAUUUCACUGCAGUUAUUCUUCUCCUCCAAACAAUGCAAAAGUUGAGGAAGAAGGUUGAAUUUGUUGCAGCAAAUGCAACUUUAAUGCACCAAAAAUUUGUACUUGAAGAGUAGUUUAUCACUGACACACUCAUGCGAAAACCUUGAUCUGUCAUCUCGUCAUCAUUCACAGCACAAAUACAUGAAAAAAAAAAUUCCAUCACAGACUCAACAAGACGCUACUCGCUUCCUGCCCUCACUGAACUCCCACAUUUAUCAUGAACAGUAACUUAUGUGGAGUUUAACUGUGAGGGCUGUAAGUCAACUGGUGUCUGGACAUUAUCUCGCCUUAGAGGACAAUUUUGCUGAACUUUCAGUUCAAACAAGCAAAAACAAGCCCAUUCAGUGCAAAAAAAAGUUGUUUUAGGUGAUGAAUGUGGCCUGAAUGAGAUGACAUUGACUCAAGUGUUAAAGAUCUCCACUCAGAUGUGUGUUUCCAGGACUGUUAUUAGACUCAGCUCUGUCCAUACCAUGACAUUAAGUAUAUAAACAGCAAAGUCUUGCACAGGAGGGUGCAGGGAUUCUUGCUAUGUUGGCCAAAAAAAUGCAGCUGAUAAAGAAACAACAUCUUUCAUCCACUUAUUGUAUGCACAGAUUUCAUUCCUUUUACAGCAUUUUGCAUUCACAUCAUUGUCUGCAGCAUCUGUACUUAGUUUUCAUAUGAUAAGCAAAAGUAUGCGAUAAAAGUGUAAUAGUCCAGCUGCCUUUAAAACCAAAAAUAUAUGUUUUGUGUGUCCCUGUUUGCAAAGCUUGUGCAUGAAAGUCUAUAAUAGUGUAACUAUGACCAACAAGUGCAACCUCACUGGAAAAAUCAGAGUGGUUUACUACACAGAAAUGUAAUGAAACUAUCCUGUUUGACAACAUAUACAGGAGUCCAUGCAUGCAAAGACGAUAAAGUGCUGUACAAUUCAGACAGAAAAGCACUGGGAUGAAUUGACUACAAAUGUAAAGAUAAUCCACAGUCAAAAACAUACAAAUGCAUGCAAAAGAAAAACUCUGCGAACCAAAUUAGUUCAACAGAAGAGCACAAGCCUGCAGGAAUGCCUUUAGACACAGGUUUAUUUCAGACCAGAGAGUUAAGGACAUGUGUUUUCAACC